UUAUCAUAAGAAGACAUAGAAAUAGUAACUUCAUAGUAUGAAGACUCUAACUUGCGGAAAGUGAUUGAUGACAACAAAACCAUUCAGUCCUUGCUUACAAAACAGGUAUAAAUACCAGUAAGGAAAAACGGAGGUAUCC
ensembl:ncRNA E01G6.4 ncRNA